UGCAUGUUCUCCCCGUGCCUGCGUGGGUUUUCUCCGGGCACUCCGGUUUCCUCCCACAUCCCAAAAACAUGCAUGAAUUGGAGACUCUAAAUUGCCCGUAGGCAUGACUGUGAUUGCGAAUGGUUGUUUGUUCCUAUGUGCCCUGCGAUUGGCUGGCAACCAGUUCAGGGUGUACCCCGCCUCCUGCCCGAUGACAGCUGGGAUAGGCUCCAGCACGCCCGCGACCCUAGUGAGGAGAAGCGGCUCAGAAAAUGGAUGGAUGGAUGGAAUUUAAAAAGUCUCCGUGAUGGAGAGAAUUGUCCAAUCAGAUAGUGUGCAGACUGGAGGCGUGGCCCUGGAGUGUGUCAAUCAUUUUUAUGUACAUGUAUUUACGCCAGAAGGAAGCUCUGGGAACAAUGGCUGGUGCAGCGUAAAGUUCGGCGACGCAUCCAAAAAUUCUUUAUCCCUCGUUUGCCUACAACUUGGUCUUCUAAUACAAGGAAACACGCUGAGUGAAGAAACCAGAAAGGCUAAACAGAGGGAGUCCAAUAGAGAGAGAAACAAAACUAGGAUACACAUUGGACCGCCUACGUAUUCCAGAGGUGGUGUCAAUUAAGACUACCUGAGGAACUUCAUGGACUCAAGUGCGACGUGGCUUCAUUUCUGCUUGACAGCUGCUGCUGCUAAAGUGGGAUGAUCAAGCUAGCUACGCGGCCAGCGACUCCUGUCUUUCGCCUCUUCCACCAACAAUAAUCUGAGGAGUGAAGAUGUUACUGUUGGAGGUCGAAAGGGAAGACUGACCUCGUUUGUCGACGCACCGUCGUUUCCCUGGUGCUUAUGGCAAGUCUUCUUAACAUUUAACUGCUAGACUGGAUAUGUGUUGGAAAUAUCCGUAAUUCAGUUUUGUCGAGUCAAAAAGAACAUUUAAGAUAUCCGUAACCAUAAUUAUACUUUCCCUAUCCAUAAUUAGCAUUUCAGGUAUCAGCAAUGUCAUUUCGUUUAAGACAAAAGUGUCUCUUUUGCCAUUCAUGUGUAUGGGGUUUGUCAUUACAGAAAUCUACAAUUCAGUUGCAAUAACUCCUAUGUGAAUUCCAGAUAUCUGCGACGGCAAUGUAGCUAUCUCUAACUCAACUUUGAAAUACAUAUCUACAAUUUCAUUCUGACUAGUCAUAAUUCCAGUUCAAUAUUUUUUAUUUCCCUAUUUCUAUAUCUUAAAUAUAUAAUAUAAAAAUACAUCAUACAACCAUGCAUUUGAUCUGUUCUUGAUCUCAUUUCUCUUUUCUGGAAAUUAGUCCAUUACACACACAUAUACAGUAUAGACACACAGGCAGCCUAAGAAAUAAAUAAAAUAAAAACAACACAGAUGACACAUUUUCAAACAAACUUGUUUCCCUUUCAAACCAAUAUCGCAAUAUUGACAUCAUCACAACAAAUUUGAUUGGGGCUUUUCAUCACUAUCGUCAUUUUUAUGUGAUCAUACUUAUCUUUAUGCAUAUUUAAAUGAACGUCUUGUUACUUCAAGAUGAACAGGCACUACACCAGUUAGGAGAUAAAAGUACAUCACUAACUAUGAA